rnacentral:lncRNA from 1 species
CUGCCAGCCCUGUGAGAUUACGGAUAGAUUCUGCUAAGAGUAAUAACCUGACUCCCAGAAUCCUACAUGUAUGGGAAGUAGCAGGCUAGGGGAGCAGAUAUACUGAGAUCGGGGUGUUAUAAAGCCUGAGCCAGGAAAGAGAUUGAUGUCACCGUGUUAGAGAGCAACACACUCCGCAGAGUGCAGGAUGGGCUGUCUCCCUGUUACUGGGAGCUUGUAACCUACCAAGAAACAUAAGAGGUGACUUGACGUUACAAGCUGCGAGCCACCUGCCCUAAGAAAGUGAGGAUUUAAGUCUUUGGUACAAAAGGAUCAUUCAAACUGCCUGACUAUUCAUCAGGAAGGAGUUCUGUGACACUCCAAAGAGACAGAGACCUCUCGUUUCUGAGGAACCAGGGCAUCUUUUAGAGAAGCCAUUGGAAAUGGCUAUUUUAAAUUUUUCUCAAAAAAGCGAUCUUUGUAGGAAAUGGACAUAGGCAUGGGGUUUCUGGCAGAAAAAUGUGUUUGGUCUCUGCCUUGGAGAAGACCCCCGGCAAGAAGCAUGUCUCUCCCAACAUUUCUUAUAAGUUUUUUUUGUUUGUUUGUUUGUUGGUUUGGUUUGGUUUGGUUCCGGUACCAGAGAUUGAACCCCAGGGCGCUCACAGCCCCAGCCCUUUUUUUUUUAAAUUUAGAGACAGGGUCUCACCAAGUUGCUUAGGGUCUCGCUAAGUUGCUGAGGCUAGCUGUGAACUCGAGAUCCUCCUGCCUCAGCCUCCCAAGCCUCUAGGAUUACAGGUGUGCACCGCUGUGCCCCUGCCUCUCCCACUCUCCCAGCCUUUCUCAACCAUGACCCUCGUCCCUGCUAAGAGCAACUGUGUCAUUCUUGUAUGUUUUAAAAUGUAUACAUAUAUUUUAUAUUUAUAUAUUAAGCUUAUAUUAUAUUAUAUAUCUCUCAGCUUCACGCUAACCAUGUGCCCUACCACUGGGCUGCACUCCAGACCAGAGGCAUUCCUUUCCGCU